rnacentral:tRNA from 2 species
UCCUUGGUGGUCUAGUGGCUAAGACUCUGUACUCCCAAUGCAGGGGGCCCAGGUUCAAUCCCUGGUCAGGGAA